CCUACGCGCGGCUGCAGUGGGGAAUAUUGCACAAUGGGGGGAACCCUGAUGCAGCGACGCCGCGUGGGUGAAGGAGUACUUCGGUACGUAAAGCCCUAUCAGCAGGAAAGAAAAUGACGGUACCUGACUAAGAAGCCCCGGCUAACUACGUGCCAGCAGCCGCGGUAAUACGUAGGGGGCAAGCGUUAUCCGGAUUUACUGGGUGGAAAGGGAGCGUAGACGGCAGUGCAAGUCCGGAGUGAAAGCCCGGGGCGCAACCCUGGGACUGCUCUGGAAACUGUAAAGCUGGAGUGCGGGAGGGGCAGGCGGAAUUCCUGGUGUAGCGGUGAAAGGCGUAGAUAUCAGGAGGAACACCGGCGGCGAAGGCGGCCUGCUGGACCGUAACUGACGUUGAGGCUCGAAAGCGUGGGGAGCAAACAGGAUUAGAUACCCUUGUAGUC
rnacentral:rRNA from 1 species